rnacentral:tRNA from 1 species
CUUCAUAUAGUUUCAUUUAAAACAUUUUAUUUUCACUAAAAAAAAGAUAAAAAAUAUCUAUGAAUG